CCAAAAAUGGUAAUACCUUUAAAGACCAAUUGUUCUUGUGAUAUCUUUAUAUCUUGCACGACAUCAUGGAAUUUUAUGAUCACCCAGUUAAGAAAAUUUAUAAUCUAAGAAAUUAGGAAUAUGCUACCAAUUGUUAAUUAAUGACUAAUAAAGUGCCAGCAGUCGCGGUCACACUUUAGUUAAUAUGAAGACAUUUAGGGCAAAAUAAGCCACAUACCUUCCUGUUGUGAAAUACGGAUAUCAUAACUAUAGUACUUAAAUAAACAAACUAAUACUGAUUACAAACAGGGAUUAGAUACCCCUUUAUGCAGUAAGUAUAAACUUUGUCCUGGGCAUUACUAUUUCCAGAUUGAAACCCAACAAACAUGGCGGUAGUUUAAAUAGUUAGGGGAACUUACUAAGUAAAUGAUAACCACCAAGAACAUGUACGUUAAAUAAUAUUUUAUAUACCGUCGUCGUCAGAUAUACUAGAACGGAAUAUCAGAACAUUUAAAUAUAAAAGGACAGAUCAAGGUGUAGACAACAUUAACGUUUUAGCGAGUUACAAUAUUUAGUUCUUUCUUACACUAAUACUAGUAUUAGGUUACAGGCGGACUUAAAAGUAAUAGUUAUACAAAUUACAGUAUGAAUAAUCUUUAAACUGUGC
rnacentral:rRNA from 1 species